UACGUAGGGGGCAAGCGUUGUCCGGAUUCAUUGGGCGUAAAGAGCGUGUAGGCGGCUAGAUAGGUCCGUUGUGAAAACUCGAGGCUCAACCUCGAGACGUCGAUGGAAACCAUUUGGCUAGAGUCCGGAAGAGGAGAGUGGAAUUCCUGGUGUAGCGGUGAAAUGCGCAGAUAUCAGGAAGAACACCCGUGGCGAAGGCGGCUCUCUGGUACGUGACUGACGCUGAGACGCGAAAGCGUGGGGAGCAAUCAGG
rnacentral:rRNA from 1 species